rnacentral:rRNA from 1 species
UACGAAGGGGGCUAGCGUUGUUCGGAAUUACUGGGCGUAAAGCGCACGCAGGCGGCUCGAUAAAUUAGAAGUGAAAGCCCCGGGCUUAACCUGGGAAUUGCUUUUAAGACUGUCGGGCUAGAAUCCAGAAGAGGGUAGUGGAAUUCCGAGUGUAGAGGUGAAAUUCGUAGAUAUUCGGAAGAACACCAGUGGCGAAGGCGACUACCUGGUCUGGCAUUGACGCUCAUGUGCGAAAGCGUGGGGAGCGAACAGG